rnacentral:tRNA from 1 species
AUUUAUAUAGCUUAUAUUUAGAGCAUGAUAUUGAAGAUAUCAUUGAGGUUUCUACCUGUAAAUA